rnacentral:lncRNA from 1 species
GACUAAUAAAAUACAUUAUUUACUUUGAGAAAGCAUCAUUUAAGGGGAAAAAACAUUUUACAAAUAUCUCCAUGGUUUACUUUAAAUUUCACUCUAUCAAGGGCCCCCUCAAAAAAUAUCUUUCCCCUAUUCAAGUUAAAAAUCCUAAACAAGCAAAGGAAAUUAAACAAUACAAUUUGAGCUACCGGAGGCUCCAACCAAAUAAUGGGUGCACCCUUACUUUUUCAUGGCAAGUAAAAUUGCUUUAAUACCCUACAUGUUCAUAGUUUCCAAAAUGGAAUUUUUUUCUGUAGUGCCCUAGUUAAAUGGAAAUUUGAAAAAUAAACUCUCUAAUAUUAAUUGAGAUCUAUUGAUCCAUAUUUUCCCUUUUUAUCUUUUUUGCUGUCCGUCUGUACCCUUUAUUAUCUUUUUUGGCUUCCUUCUCUUCAUCGCGUGGUUGCAAAACAGACCAGCACGAUAGCUUCCACACCAUAGAAGAAAUCUCAGUUGCUUUCCUUUUCCAAUUAGCAACCAGCUGAAAUUAAACAAUAAAAAAGAAAAGGCAAUCACUUAAGAGAAAGCAACCAUAAUGAGGACGCUAAGGCCACAAAGGGAAGCAACUGAGAUUUCUUUUUUAGAUCUUUUUUUUCACCUGUGCUGUCACAAAGUCUGAAUUAAAGAGCUACCAUGUCUCUCUCUCUCUCUC